GAUGAAGAACGCAGUGAAAUGCGAUACGUAGUGUGAAUUGCAGAAUUCAGUGAAUCAUCGAAUCUUUGAACGCACAUUGCGCCCUUUGGUAUUCCAAAGGGCAUGCCUGUUCGAGCGUCAUUUGUACCCUCAAGCUUUGCUUGGUGUUGGGCGUCUUGUCUCCAGUCCGCUGGAGACUCGCCUUAAAGUCAUUGGCAGCCGGCCUACUGGUUUCGGAGCGCAGCACAAGUCGCACUCUUUUCCAGCCAAGGUCAGCGUCCAACAAGCCUUUUUUCAACAUUUGACCUCGGAUCAGGUAGGGAUACCCGCUGAACUUAAGCAUAUCAAUAAGCGGAGGA
rnacentral:misc_RNA from 1 species